CCGGGAGGGUUUAUCCCACCGGCAUAAGAAACUGAAGCAAUCAGGACUGCCACAAUCGCGAUCGUAUUUCUUGCAUUUUCUCUCUAAAGUGUUAAUUUGUUCCUGGGAUCGUUUAUGGAAUGAAUCGGACUUGGAGUGGCCAUCAUGCACUUCAGUGUUCUUAGAUUCCAGCUCGGUAUCGAACCUCAGCCAGCUUGAUAACAACUCAAAGUCUUCCGCUUCUCGAGGGAGAAGCUGCCAUUUAUACAGUAGGGAUAUGUCAGAGGAUAUGCCACAAAAUCCAAGAAACUCUGAAGCAAAAAUUGAAUCAUAUCCCUGCUGACAUGCUCAUGAACCAUGGUUCAUUUGUUUCUCA